CUGGAUACAUGGAUCUGGGUACAAGGUCUGGGAAAGUCUGGGUACAUGGGUCUGGGUACAUGGGUCUGGGUGCAUGGGCCUGGGUACAUGGGCUUGGGUACAUGGUAUGGGAAAGGCUGAGAGUACUUGGGUCUGGUUACAUGGCGCGGGAAAGAGUCUGGGCACAUGGAUCUGGGUGCAUUGGCCUGGGUACAUGGUAUGGGAAGAGUCUGGGUACUUGGACUUGGGCACAUGGUAUGGGAAAGAGUAUGGGUACAUGGGUCUGGGUACAUGGUAUGGGAGAGAGUCUGGGCUCAUGGGUAUGGGUAUAUGGGUCUGGGUACAUGGGUCUGGGUAUGUAUCGGUCUGGAUACAUGGGUCUGUGUACUUGGGCUAGGGUACAUGGUAUGGGAAGAGUCUGGGUACAUGGACUUGGGUACAUGGUAUGGGAAAGAGUAUGGGUACAUGGGUCUGGAUACAUGGAAUGGGAGAGAGUCUGGGCACAUGAGUAUGGAUAUAUGGGUCUGGAUACAUGGUAUGGAAAAGGGUGUGGGUACAUGAGGCUGGGUGCAUGGGGCUGGGUACAUGGUAUGGGAAGGUCUAGGUACAUGGAUCUGGGUACAUUGGUCUGGGUACAUGGUAUGGGAAAGUCUGAGUACAUGGGUCUGGGUACAUGGUAUGGGAAGGAGUCUGGGUAAAUGGGUCUGGGUACAUGGGUUUGGGUACAUGGUAUGGGAAGUCUCUGGGUACAUUGGUUUGGGUACAUGGUAUGGGAUGAGUCCGGAUACAUGGGUUUGUACAUGGUAUGGAAAGUCUGGGUACAUGUGUCUGGGUACAUGGUAUGGGAACGUCUGGGUACAUGGGUCUGGGUACAUGGGCUUGGGUACAUGGUAUGGGAAAGGGUGUGGGUACAUGGGUCUGGUUACAUGGUAUGGGAAAGUCUGGGAACAUGGGUCUGGGUAUAUAGGUCUGGGUACAUGGGUCUGGGUGCAUGGGUCUGGAUACAUGAGUCUGGGUACAUGGUAUGGGGACAUGGGUCUGGGUACAUGUGUCUGGGUAUAUGUUUUGGGAAAGAGUCUGGAUACAUGGAUCUGGGUACAAGGUAUGGGAAAUUCUGGGUUAUGGGUCUGAGCCAUGGGUAUGUGUAUAUGGGUCUGGGUACAUGGGUCUGGGUACAUGGGUCUAGGUACAUGGUAUUGGAAGAGUCUGGGUACAUGGACUUGGAUACAUGGUAUGGGAAAGAGUAUGGGUACAUGGGUCUGGGUACAUGGGUCUGGGUAUAUUGGUCUGGGUACAUGGGUCUGGGUACAUGGGUCUGGGUACAUGGUAUGGGAAGAGUCUGGGUACAUGGAUUUGGGUACAUGGUAUGGGAAAGUCUGGGCACAUGGGUCUGGCUACAUGGUAUGGGAAAGUCUGGGUACAUGGGUCUGGGUACAUGGGUCUGGGUACAUGGGUCUGGGUACAUGGUAUGGGAAGAGUCUGGGUACAUGGACUUGGAUACAUGGUAUGGGAAAGAGUAUGGGUACAUGGGUCUGGGUACAUGGUAUAGGAGAGAGUCUGGGAUCGUGGGUAUGUGUAUAUGGGCCUGGGUACAUGGGCAUGGGUAUAUCGGUUUCGGUACAUGGAUCUGGGUGCAUUGGUCUGGGUACAUGGGCUUGGGUACAUGGUAUGGGAAAGAGUCUGGGCACAUGGGUAUGUGUAUAUGGGUCUGGGUACAUGGGUCUGGGUAUAUCAGUCUGGGUAUAUGGGUAUGGGCACAUGGGUCUGGCUACAUGGUAUGGGAAGAGUCUGGGUACCUGGAUUUGGGUACUUAGUAUGGGAAGAGUCUGGGUACAUGGGUCUGGUUAUAUGGGUCAGGGUACAUGGUAUGGGAAAGAGUCUGGAUACAUGGGUCUGGGUAUAUGGGAUGGGAAAAAGUCUGGGUACAUACGUUUGGGUACAUUGUAUGGAAAGAGUCUGAGUACAUAGGUCUGGGUACAUGGGUCUGGGUACAUGGUAUGGGAAAGAGUCUGGGCACAUGGGUCUGGGUACAUGGGUCUGGGUACAUGGUAUGGGAAAGAGUCUGGGCACAUGGGUCUGGGUAUAUGGGAUUGGAAAGAGUCUGGGUACAUGGGUCUGGGUACGUGAGUCUGGGUACAUGGUAUGGGAAAGAGUCUGGAUACAUGGGUCUGGGUACGUGGAUCUGUGUACAUGGAUCUGGAUACAUGGUUAU